ACUUAGAACAAUGGACGUAAGCAGAUCUCUCCAUCUAACUUGGCCCGUUUCUAGGGUCCCAAUUUAGUUCCAGGUCGUAUUGCCAGACAUACAUUCAUUUUUGACCACCCGAAUCGUAGUAAUUCGGCGCCUUCCAAGUUUUCAAUGGCUUUGCGAGAUUUUAAUCGAAAGCUUACCUCCCAAUAUCAUCAAUGGUCCUCACACCAAUGACGCAUAGCGCCAUUUCGUGUGAAAAUUUGCAUUUGCAAAGAACUUAAAAUGCUUAUAUCUUCUUAACUGGAUGUCUGGUGGAAAAAAAGUAUAUUUAUGAUUGCCUGUUA